rnacentral:lncRNA from 1 species
AAAAUAAUUGCCAUGAGUUGAUUGCUUUGUAAAUUUUGUCCAUCUUCUCCUUCAGGUUUUGGUUUGCUUGUAAGCAAGCUGGGAUUUUAUCAGCUAUCCCCAGUACCCCUCUGAAGGAUUCUUUGUCUGUAGAGCUGCUGGGCAUCUGUCAGGCUGGUGGAUUCAGAGGUUGUGUAGGCUGCCCUGUAGUAUUGUGCAAAAGGCAGGAAUUCACAGCUUAGCUACAUUUGGGAAGCCAAAGCAUUACUUUAAUGGAAGAAGUGAUCAAAUUACCCGAAGAAACCUAACUAUGACAGAUGCCAUCUCGACUGAGCCGUUUACAAUUUACUACCACAGAAGGAGAGCAGAAGAAGUGAAUCCCAGUAUCUGA